UGCCCUAGCCGCUGGAGAGCAUGAUGCGGUCCGCCGUCUCUGCCCACUGCCCCGCCGCCUCCUUCCGGCAAGAGGUCGAUCUACCGGCCCCAGGAUCUUAUAUCUCUGAAGUAAUGCAUAAAGCUGUUUUUGGUGAGGCUGACGAUGUGCCAGUUCAUCGUGCUGAUGAACCUGAAUCUCAUAGCCAUACCUCUAUCAGGAAAAGAGAAGAACAUCCGCAAACACGAGCGUGUAGAUUGGACGAGAGAAGAACAGCUGCAAAGAUGCUCCAAGUUGUUCUCAAUCGAGCCAAGGAGGGUGUAGUUUGAACCAAAGGCGCAACCGUCUGGGUGUAGUCAUCAAUAAAAUGUAAAACACUGAUAUGGUAUCAUAUGUAAUACUGCUGGUGGUGGGUUUUGUUAACCAGCUCGGUGGGUUCACAGGAACCUGUCCUGUGUCUUUGCAAAGAGAUGAUAAAAGACGAUGUGAUGGUUAAUCUUUGUGUUUUAUUUU